rnacentral:tRNA from 1 species
GCCUUUGUGGUGUAACGGUACACUCGGCUCGUAUUCGAGAGGUCCAGGUUCGAGUCCUGGCAAGGGCA